GCGGCGGCUUAACACAUGCAAGUCGAGCGGUAACAGAGAUAGCUUGCUAUCUGCUGACGAGCGGCGGACGGGUGAGUAAUGCUUGGGAAUAUGCCUUUGAGUGGGGGACAACAGUUGGAAACGACUGCUAAUACCGCAUAACGUCUACGGACCAAAGGGGGGGAUGCUUCGGCACCUCUCGCUCAUUGAUUAGCCCAAGUGAGAUUAGCUAGUUGGUAAGGUAAUGGCUUACCAAGGCGACGAUCUCUAGCUGGUUUGAGAGGAUGAUCAGCCACACUGGGACUGAGACACGGCCCAGACUCCUACGGGAGGCAGCAGUGGGGAAUAUUGCACAAUGGGCGAAAGCCUGAUGCAGCCAUGCCGCGUGUGUGAAGAAGGCCUUCGGGUUGUAAAGCACUUUCAGCGAGGAGGAAAGGUUAGUAGUUAAUAGCUGCUAGCUGUGACGUUACUCGCAGAAGAAGCACCGGCUAACUUCGUGCCAGCAGCCGCGGUAAUACGAGGGGUGCAAGCGUUAAUCGGAAUUACUGGGCGUAAAGCGUGCGUAGGUGGUUUGUUAAGCAAGAUGUGAAAGCCCCGGGCUCAACCUGAGAACUGCAUUUUGAACUGGCAAACUAGA
rnacentral:rRNA from 1 species